CGGCCGGGGCCGGCGGCUCCCGGGGCUCUCGCGGCUCCUCGUUGAAGGCGGUGAUGCGGCGGGACGCCACGGGCGAGUACACGGCCACGCAUUAUGGCCACCGCUGGAGCACACUGUGAGUGGAAGCAGCAGUGGGGUGGCUGAGCUGUAUUAACCUGGGGCUAAAAGAGAGAGGAACACGAGGGAAACCACAUUUGAUCCCUGAACCAAAAGGUGAAGGGGAGGAGCAGCUCACGUCCAAGGGGCAGGAAGAGUGAAGUCAGCUCCACUUCAGCAGGUGAGCGGCCUCGGGGGAAACAUUCUGAUCUGGAUGUUUAAUUACAGACCAGGGGACUACACAGCAAUGCAUGGCGAGUCUCACU